UGGCCACAUGCCCCUAUGAGAUUGACCAU
rnacentral:piRNA from 1 species